CCUACGGGAGGCAGCAGUGAGGAAUAUUGGUCAAUGGACGGAAGUCUGAACCAGCCAUGCCGCGUGCAGGAAGACGGCUCUAUGAGUUGUAAACUGCUUUAGACAGGGAAGAAACAAGACAGUACCUGUAAAAUAAGCUCCGGCUAACUACGUGCCAGCAGCCGCGGUAAUACGUAGGGAGCAAGCGUUAUCCGGAUUUAUUGGGUGUAAAGGGUGCGUAGACGGGAAGUCAAGUUGGUUGUGAAAUCCCUCGGCUUAACUGAGGAACUGCAACCAAAACUAACUUUCUUGAGUGCUGGAGAGGAAAGUGGAAUUCCUAGUGUAGCGGUGAAAUGCGUAGAUAUUAGGAGGAACACCAGUGGCGAAGGCGACUUUCUGGACAGUAACUGACGUUGAGGCACGAAAGUGUGGGGAGCAAACAGGAUUAGAUACCCUGGUAGUC
rnacentral:rRNA from 1 species